GAGUUCUGAUUAUUGAAAGGUGCUUGCAUCUUGAUUUAAUUUAGAACGAGUGGCGGACGGGUGAGUAACACGUGGGUAACCUGCCCUUAAGUGGGGGAUAACAUUUGGAAACAGAUGCUAAUACCGCAUAAAUCCAAGAACCGCAUGGUUCUUGGCUGAAAGAUGGCGUAAGCUAUCGCUUUUGGAUGGACCCGCGGCGUAUUAGCUAGUUGGUGAGGUAACGGCUCACCAAGGCAAUGAUACUGAGCCGAACUGAGAGGUUGAUCGGCCACAUUGGGACUGAGACACGGCCCAAACUCCUACGGGAGGCAGCAGUAGGGAAAUCUUCCAAAAUGGACGC
rnacentral:rRNA from 2 species